rnacentral:lncRNA from 1 species
GGAUGAUACAAGAUAAUAAAAUCAUAAGGUGAUAACUAAACAAUUUGAAAACACUUUCUUUAGAAAAAAAAAUCUUCCUUGUAGUUAAAAAAAAAAACAAAAAAAGACUAGGCAAAAUGCAGCCCACCCCCUUCCAAAGUGAAGACGCACACAAUGGUUACUCUCAGCACACUGACCCUGGACAGCUUUCCAGCUGGUGGCAAAGAGGGGCUCCCUGGAGAUUCUGGCCAGCAGAGGUCCAAGCACCGAUGCUCAAAACCAAGGAGGUCACACCGCUGGCUUCCUCGCCACCACUCUCUGACAAGAAAAUUGUACACAGGCGCCAUCCACUAACCCGAAUUCACUUUUAAUAAAAGCAGCUGAAUUUGCCAAAUGAAUGCAUUCAUCACUGUCAGAACAGACUUAAACACUGGCAAGAACUGUAAAUCAUCAAGACAUGCAAAAGAGCACUUACCCAAAACAAACAACUUAACAUCCAGUGACAGGCGCUAAAUAACACCAAUUCAUAGAGAUCGGAUGAUCCUGUCUGUAUCUCAUACCUAGUCACACACGAGUUUGCUGUCACGGAUUCAAGCACUAAAGGCAGACGCUCUCAAACCUGAACAGCUUUGCUAACGACAAUCACAGAGGUAUCCAGGAGGAGCAGAACCACACUGCUCCCCA